rnacentral:rRNA from 1 species
GACGAACGCUGGCGGCGUGCCUAAUGCAUGCAAGUCGAGCGGACUGACUGGGAGCUUGCUCUUGUUCGGUCAGCGGCGGACGGGUGAGUAACACGUGGGCAACCUGCCCGCAAGACCGGGAUAACUCCGGGAAACCGGAGCUAAUACCGGAUAACACCGAAGACCGCAUGGUCUUUGGUUGAAAGGCGGCGCAAGCUGCCACUUGCGGAUGGGCCCGCGGCGCAUUAGCUAGUUGGUGAGGUAACGGCUCACCAAGGCGACGAUGCGUAGCCGGCCUGAGAGGGUGACCGGCCACACUGGGACUGAGACACGGCCCAGACUCCUACGGGAGGCAGCAGUAGGGAAUCUUCCGCAAUGGGCGAAAGCCUGACGGAGCGACGCCGCGUGAGCGAAGAAGGCCUUCGGGUCGUAAAGCUCUGUUGUGAGGGACGAAGGAGCGCCGUUUGAAGAAGGCGGCGCGGUGACGGUACCUCACGAGGAAGCCCCGGCUAACUACGUG